rnacentral:rRNA from 1 species
UCUACGGGAGGCAGCAGUGGGGAAUUUUCCGCAAUGGGCGAAAGCCUGACGGAGCAAUACCGCGUGAGGGAGGAAGGCUCUUGGGUCGUAAACCUCUUUUCUCAGGGAAGAAGAUGACGGUACCUGAGGAAUAAGCAUCGGCUAACUCCGUGCCAGCAGCCGCGGUAAUACGGAGGAUGCAAGCGUUAUCCGGAAUGAUUGGGCGUAAAGCGUCCGCAGGUGGCUGUUCAAGUCUGCUGUCAAAGGUUCUGGCUCAACCAGAGACAGGCAGUGGAAACUGAACGGCUAGAGUGCGGUGGGGGCAGAGGGAAUUCCCAGUGUAGCGGUGAAAUGCGUAGAGAUUGGGAAGAACACCGGUGGCGAAAGCGCUCUGCUAGGCCGCAACUGACACUCAGGGACGAAAGCUAGGGGAGCGAAUAGGAUUAGAUACCCCAGUAGUCCUAGCCGUAAACGAUGGAUACUAGGCGUAGCUCGUAUCGACCCGAGCUGUGCCGUAGCUAACGCGUUAAGUAUCCCGCCUGGGGAGUACGCCGGCAACGGUGAAACUCAAAUGAAUUGACGG